rnacentral:rRNA from 1 species
UACGUAGGGUGCAGGCGUUAAUCGGAAUUACUGGGCGUAAAGCGUGCGCAGGCGGUCUAUUAAGACAGGUGUGAAAUCCCCGGGCUCAACCCGGGAACUGCGUCCGAGACUGGAAGGCUCGAAUCCGGGAGAGGGAUGUGGAAUUCCAGGUGUAGCGGUGAAAUGCGUAGAUAUCUGGAGGAACAUCGGUGGCGAAGGCGGCAUCCUGGACCGGUAUUGACGCUGAGGCGCGAAAGCCAGGGGAGCAAACGGG